rnacentral:rRNA from 1 species
UGGGGAAUUUUGGACAAUGGGCGAAAGCCUGAUCCAGCCAUGCCGCGUGAGUGAAGAAGGCCUUCGGGUUGUAAAGCUCUUUUAGUCGGAAAGAAAGAGUUGCAAUGAAUAAUUGUGAUUUAUGACGGUACCGACAGAAAAAGCACCGGCUAACUACGUGCCAGCAGCCGCGGUAAUACGUAGGGUGCGAGCGUUAAUCGGAAUUACUGGGCGUAAAGGGUGCGCAGGCGGUCUUGCAAGUCAGAUGUGAAAGCCCCGGGCUUAACCUGGGAAGUGCGUUUGAAACUACAAGACUAGAGUGCAGCAGAGGGGAGUGGAAUUCCAUGUGUAGCAGUGAAAUGCGUAGAGAUGUGGAAGAACACCGAUGGCGAAGGCAGCUCCCUGGGUUGACACUGACGCUCAUGCACGAAAGCGUGGGGAGCAAACA